GAAUUUAAUUGAUUAUUAUUUAUUUUAAUUAAAGAAUUUUUAAUAAAAAUAUUUUUUAUUUUAUUAAUUUUUUAGAAAAAAUUGUUUUAAUUAUAGUUAAGAGUAUUGUGAAAGAAAUUUUUAAAAUUUUUUUAAGAAAAAUUAAAAUUUUGUACCUUGUGUAUCAGGGUUAAUUAAAAAUAAAGUUAAGAUUAAUUGUUCUCGAAUUUAAAAGAGCUAAUUAAAUAUAAAUUUUAUUGUAAAAUAAAUAUUUAAAAUAUUUAAUUAGAAAUGAAACGUUAUUCGUUUUUAAAUAUAUCUAGUUUUUAAAGAAAUGAAUUUAAUUUAGUUAUUAAUAAUUAAAAUUUUAAAUUUUUAAUAUUUUAUUAUUAAUAAGUAAUUUUUUUAGGGAUAAGCUUAAAAAAAGAUAAUUAUAAUAAAUAUAAUAUUUAAUAAUUUAUAGGAUUAAAAAUUUCUAUUAAUAAAAUUUUGUUAUAAUUUAUUAUUAAAAAUAUAAUAUUUAUAUUUUAUUUAAAUUUUUUAUUUAAAUAUAAAUUUAAAUUUUAAAAAUUUAGAAAUAAUGAUUAAAUUAGUAUAAAUUUUUGUAAAUUUAAAUUUAUAAUUAAGGUUAAUAUAAGGAAUUCGGCAAAUUUAUUUUCCACCUGUUUAAUAAAAACAUGUCCUUUUGAUUAUAAUUUAAGGUCUAAUCUGCCCACUGAGUAGUUAAAUGGCCGCGGUAUUUUGACCGUGCAAAGGUAGCAUAAUCAUUAGUUUCUUAAUUAGAAGCUGGAAUGAAUGAUUGGAUGAGAAAAUGACUGUCUCAUAUUAAUUUAUUUAGAAUUUUAUUUUUAAGUUAAAAAGCUUAAAUGUAAUUAAAAGACGAGAAGACCCUAUAGAGUUUAAUUAAUAAUUAAUUUUUAAAAUUUUUGAUUUUAAUUUUUAAAAUUAUUUUAUUAAUUUUGUUGGGGUGACAAAAAAAUUAAAUUAACUUUUUUUAAAUU
rnacentral:rRNA from 1 species